rnacentral:lncRNA from 1 species
GUUCCUGUGAACAAACGCUAACUUCUCUGAAGACUUUCAUUCCAUGAACUACUGAGAUACUGGGCUCAAUUGGAGCAACUCCAAUAUGAUUGACAGCUUGUCAAGAGGAAAAAAAAAAUCAGCAAAAGCAGUUGCAGCAGCCACUAAUUCAGAACUUAGCAAGUGGUGACUCUUAGAACCUGAGAGCCAUGCUAACUUGAUGAGAAAAUACUUUUACAUCAAAAGUGGCUUCCUGUUACAUUUGUAAAUUUCAUGUUACUGUUAGAAAAAAAAUAGACUAAAUUGGAAUACAGUAUCCAGAAAGAGAUAUCCAUUUGCAAGAAGUGUUAUAUAGGCUGUUGAUUUUUUCUACAUGGCUUUCCAAUGAACUUUGGAUUACUUACAGCUUUGAUUCUGAUGAUAUAAUGAUGGCCAACAUUGGCAGCCAUGGUUUCUACCAGAUGUCAGUUUUGUCCAAAUAAAGCAAU